rnacentral:tRNA from 1 species
UCUUUUUCGGUGUAUGGCACGGAAAAUUUUGAGUUUUCAAGAGGAUAUCCUUAUCUAGAAAGAA